GGUGGCUCAGUGGUAGAGCACUUGCCUAGCAUGCUAGCGGCCCUGGGUUCGAUUCCUCAGCACCA
rnacentral:tRNA from 1 species